CCAAUAAUAAUUUAUGUUAGACAUGGGGAACAUAGUCAUAAAGAUCCCAACUCCACUUCUUGGACAUUGUGCAAACUAAUUUUACUGCUAAAAAAACUUCUUUAAAACUUUUUAAUACAAUGACAUAUAGACUGUGAAGAUACAUAGUUUUUUAAUCUUUUUAAUUAAUGACCUCCAACUUGUAACUCCUACACGUUAAACAACCAGAGGAGCCGACAUUGACUACCGUUAUUCAAAGAACAGUGUCUCCACAAAUUUUAAAUUAUGAAUUCGACUGUAUCUUAGUCCGCUUACUAUAAAAAGUUAAAUAAAUAAAUCGUUCUGAGGAGGGCCCAUAUCCGGGACGAAACGUUAAAAAAAAAUACGUUUACAUAAUUGACCGAUCACCAAGAUUCAAUAAUAGAUUAUAUACGAGGUCGAGAAUUCCUACUCUUAAGCUUGAUUUUAUCACAUUAGAACAGUUCUUAGAUAAUACUGAUGUAAAAUUAUCAGUAAGUCCGAUGUUGUGUAUUUGCAAAGGAAAAGGGACUCAUGCGAGGUAAAAGAAGUUCAAGAUUUUCAUAUUUAUUCAGAUUCUUUCGAUUAGUCAAUAAUUGUAAUUCUAAUACACCGACAAUAAACUUUAUAUACUUAUUUCAAUAUCGCUAGAUGCUUGAAAAGUGAGCUAUUCAAAUAUAUGUCCACAGCUGGCAAUGAGAGAAGGGCGAUUACUUUUAUGAUAAUAAUAAUAAUAAUAAUAAUAAUAAUAAUAAUAAUAAUAAUAAUUUUAACAAAAUGAAACUGACAUUUUACAAUACAAUAACGUAUUAUAAUAUAAUAACGUAUGCGUGGAUAUUGUGUAAUACGUAAUAUAAUGGGUUGCAUUGAAUUCGGUUUUCCGAACGUUUUAUAAUUGAAAAUUUGACUGAAUUUUAUAAUUAGACGAUGCAAAAAGCUCUCGUUUGGAUCCCAUGUCUUUUUUUUUUGUCUGCUGUUUUUUAUACUCCGUUGGCAAUGCUAUCACACAGUUAUAAGUUAAAUUUAGGUUAAUAUUGAAAU